GAUGAACGCUGGCGGCGUGCCUAAUACAUGCAAGUCGAGCGAACAGAUAAGGAGCUUGCUCCUUUGACGUUAGCGGCGGACGGGUGAGUAACACGUGGAUAACCUACCUAUAUGACUGGGAUAACUUCGGGAAACCGGAGCUAAUACCGGAUCACAUAUUGAACCGCUUGGUUCAAUAGUGAAAGGCGGCUUUGCUGUCACUUAUAGAUGGAUGCGCGCCGUCUUAGCUAGUUGGUAAGGUAACGGCUUACCAAGGCAACGAUACGUAGCCGACCUGAGAGGGUGACAGGCCACACUGGACCUGAGACACGGUCCAGAUCCCUACGGGAGGCAGCAGGAGGAAAUCUGCCGCAAUGGGCGAAAGCCUGACGAAGCAUCGCCGCGUGAUUGAUGAAGGCCUUCGGAUCGUAAAACCCUUUUAUCAGGAAAAAACGAAUGUGUAAGUAACUGUGCUCAUCUGGACGGUACCAGAGCAGAAGGCCACGGCUAACUACUU
rnacentral:rRNA from 1 species